UACGUAGGUGGCAAGCGUUGUCCGGAUUUAUUGGGCGUAAAGGGAGCGCAGGCGGUGACUUAAGUCUGAUGUGAAAGCCCACGGCUCAACCGUGGAAGGUCAUUGGAAACUGGGUCACUUGAGUGCAGAAGAGGGAAGUGGAAUUCCAUGUGUAGCGGUGAAAUGCGUAGAGAUAUGGAGGAACACCAGUGGCGAAGGCGGCUUCCUGGUCUGUAACUGACACUGAGGCGCGAAAGCGUGGGGAGCAAACAGGAUUAGAUACCCCGGUA
rnacentral:rRNA from 1 species